UUUAGUAAGUNUGAAGUUAAAGGCAUUGGCUCAACCAAUGUAUGCUUUGGAAACUGUUAGACUNGAGUGCAGAAAGGGAGAGUGGAAUUCCAUGUGUAGCGGUGAAAUGCGUAGAUAUAUGGAGGAACACCGGUGGCGAAAGCGGCUCUNUGGUCUGUCACUGACGCUGAGGCUCGAAAGCGUGGGUAGCGAACAGGAUUAGAUACCCUGGUAGUCCACGCCGUAAACGCUGAGUGCUAGGUGUUAGGUCCUUUCCGGGACUUAGUGCCGACGCUAACGCAUUAAGCACUCCGCCUGGGGAGUACGACCGCAAGGUUGAAACUCAAAGGAAUUGACGGGGGCCCGCACAAGCGGUGGAGCAUGUGGUUUAAUUCGAAGCAACGCGAAGAACCUUACCAGGUCUUGACAUCCCGAUGCCCGCUCUAGAGAUAGAGUUUUUCUUCGGAACAUCGGAGACAGGUGGUGCAUGGUUGUCGUCAGCUCGUGUCGUGAGAUGUUGGGUUAAGUCCCGCAACGAGCGCAACCCUUAUUGUUAGUUGCCAUCAUUAAGUUGGGCACUCUAGCGAGACUGCCGGUAAUAAACCGGAGGAAGGUGGGGAUGACGUCAAAUCAUCAUGCCCCUUAUGACCUGGGCUACACACGUGCUACAAUGGUUGGUACAACGAGUCGCAAGCCGGUGACGGCAAGCUAAUCUCUGAAAGCCAAUCUCAGUUCGGAUUGUAGGCUGCAACUCGCCUACAUGAAGUCGGAAUCGCUAGUAAUCGCGGAUCAGCACGCCGCGGUGAAUACGUUCCCGGGCCUUGUACACACCGCCCGUCACACCACGAGAGUUUGUAACACCCAAAGUCGG
rnacentral:rRNA from 1 species